rnacentral:misc_RNA from 1 species
GAUGAAGAACGCAGCGAAAUGCGAUAAGUAAUGUGAAUUGCAGAAUUCAGUGAAUCAUCGAAUCUUUGAACGCACAUUGCGCCCGCCAGUAUUCUGGCGGGCAUGCCUGUUCGAGCGUCAUUUCAACCAUCAAGCCCUGCUUGCGUUGGGGUCCUGCGGCUGCCCGCAGGCCCUGAAAACCAGUGGCGGGCUCGCUAGUCACACCGAGCGCAGUAAUACAUCUCGCUUUGGGCGUGCGGCGGGUUCUUGCCGUUAAACACCCCCUUUUUACCAAGGUUGACCUCGGAUCAGGUAGGAAUACCCGCUGAACUUAAGCAUAUCAAAACGGAGGA